rnacentral:misc_RNA from 1 species
UACGUAGGUGGCAAGCGUUAUUCGGAUUUAUUGGGCGUAAAGGGUUCGUAGGGGGUCUGUUAAGUUUGAUGUGAAAGCCUGGGGCUCAACCCCGGAACUGCAUUGGAUACUGACGGACUAGAGGACUGGAGAGGAAAGUGGAAUUCCCGGUGUAGCGGUGGAAUGCGUAGAUAUCGGGAGGAACACCAAUAGCGAAGGCAGCUUUCUGGACAGUUUCUGACCCUGAGGAACGAAAGCCGGGGGAGCAAACAGG